rnacentral:tRNA from 1 species
UGCCCCGUGGUGUAACGGUAGCACAACAGGUUCUGGUCCUGUUUGUCGGGGUUCAAAUCCCUGCGGGGUAACCA